GUUCCCAUGGCGUAGUGGUCACUGCACUCGCCUUGCACGCGGGAGAUCCAGGUUCGAUUCCCGGCGGGGUCA
rfam:Asian citrus Psyllid, Diaphorina citri - Florida Strain, whole genome shotgun sequence.